rnacentral:rRNA from 1 species
UACGAGGGGUGCAAGCGUUGCUCGGAAUUAUUGGGCGUAAAGGGUAGGUAGGUGGUCUUGUUUGUCUUAUGUGAAAGCCUUGGGCUUAAACCCAAGAAGUGCGUAAGAAACGGCAAGACUAGAGUCCUAGAGAGGGUCGUGGAAUUCCGGUGUAGCGGUGAAAUGCGUAGAGAUCGGGAGGAACACCAGAGGCGAAGGCGGCGACCUGGAUAGGUACUGACACUCGAACUACGAAAGCGUGGGGAGCAAACAGGA